AAAAACUAAAAGAGCUAUUACUGAGUCUCAGCGAAUCUUGCCAUGAUCAGCUCUUCCCAGAGUAAGUAGAGAUUUUCUUGUUUGACAAGAGAAAGAAAACCAAGGAAAUUAUUUGCUCAGGAUGAGGAAUGAAGAUGGCCAUCUUGAGCUCAAACAAACAGAAGUCCUCUGAUGAUCUCUUCAGCCAAACGAGGGGUUUUGACCAAGUGAUGCUCUUGAAAGGAGUGAAAGAAGAGGAUGUGGUAAAUUGUCUUCAGAGAAAAAGCUUCUCAAAAGGUCUUAAAACAGCUUGAAGAAUGGUCUGGGAUGUUAGGACUGAGAG